GAUGAACGCUAGCGGCAGGCUUAACACAUGCAAGUCGAGGGGCAGCAUUAAGUUGGCGACCGGCAAACGGGUGCGGAACACGUACACAAUCUGCCUUUGUCUGGGGCAUAGCCCGGAGAAAUCCGGAUUAACUCCCCAUAAUAUAGAGGAGGGGCAUCCCUCCAUUAUUAAAAAUUUAUUGGACAGAGAUGAGUGUGCGUCCCAUUAGCUAGUUGGUAGGGUAACGGCCUACCAAGGCGACGAUGGGUAGCUGGUGUGAGAGCACGACCAGCCACACGGGCACUGAGACACGGGCCCGACUCCUACGGGAGGCAGCAGUGAGGAAUAUUGGUCAAUGGGCGCAAGCCUGAACCAGCCAUGCCGCGUGAAGGAUGAAGGCCUUCUGGGUUGUAAACUUCUUUUAUGGGGGAAGAAAACUACGGUUUCUACUGUAGCCGACGGUACCCUAGGAAUAAGCACCGGCUAACUCCGUGCCAGCAGCCGCGGUAAUACGGAGGGUGCAAGCGUUAUCCGGAUUUACUGGGUUUAAAGGGUGUGUAGGCGGGCUAUUAAGUCAGUGGUGAAAUCUCCGGGCUCAACCCGGAAACUGCCAUUGAUACUAUUAGUCUUGAAUUUUGUUGAGGUGGGCGGAAUAAGUCAUGUAGCGGUGAAAUGCAUAGAUAUGACUUAGAACACCAAUUGCGAAGGCAGCUCACUAAGCAAAUAUUGACGCUGAGGCACGAAAGCGUGGGGAUCAAACAGGAUUAGAUACCCUGGUAGUCCACGCCCUAAACGAUGAUUACUCGACAUACGCGAUACACAGUGUGUGUCUGAGCGAAAGCAUUAAGUAAUCCACCUGGGAAGUACGACCGCAAGGUUG
rnacentral:rRNA from 1 species